rnacentral:rRNA from 1 species
CUCUGAUCCCUAGUAGCGGCGAGCGAAGCGGGAAGAGCUCAAAUUUAUAAUCUGGCACCUUCGGUGUCCGAGUUGUAAUCUCUAGAAAUGUUUUCCGCGUUGGACCGCACACAAGUCUGUUGGAAUACAGCGGCAUAGUGGUGAGACCCCCGUAUAUGGUGCGGACGCCCAGCGCUUUGUGAUACAUUUUCGAAGAGUCGAGUUGUUUGGGAAUGCAGCUCAAAUUGGGUGGUAAAUUCCAUCUAAAGCUAAAUAUUGGCGAGAGACCGAUAGCGAACAAGUACCGUGAGGGAAAGAUGAAAAGCACUUUGGAAAGAGAGUUAACAGUACGUGAAAUUGUUGGAAGGGAAACGCUUGAAGUCAGACUUGCUUGCCGAGCAAUCGGUUUGCAGGCCAGCAUCAGUUUUCCGGGAUGGAUAAUGGUAGAGAGAAGGUAGCAGUUUCGGCUGUGUUAUAGCUCUCUGCUGGAUACAUCUUGGGGGACUGAGGAACGCAGUGUGCCUUUGGCGGGGGUUUCGACCUCUUCACACUUAGGAUGCUGGUGGAAUGGCUUUAAACGACCCGUCUUAA